rnacentral:rRNA from 1 species
AGUGAACGCUGGCGGUAGGCCUAACACAUGCAAGUCGAACGGCAGCACAGUAAGAGCUUGCUCUUACGGGUGGCGAGUGGCGGACGGGUGAGGAAUACAUCGGAAUCUACUUUUUCGUGGGGGAUAACGUAGGGAAACUUACGCUAAUACCGCAUACGACCUACGGGUGAAAGCAGGGGAUCUUCGGACCUUGCGCGAUUGAAUGAGCCGAUGUCGGAUUAGCUAGUUGGCGGGGUAAAGGCCCACCAAGGCGACGAUCCGUAGCUGGUCUGAGAGGAUGAUCAGCCACACUGGAACUGAGACGCGGUACAGACUCCUACGGGAGGCAGCAGUGGGGAAUAUUGGACAAUGGGCGCAAGGCUGAUCCAGCCAUACCGCGUGGGUGAAGAAGGCCUUCGGGUUGUAAAGCCCUUUUGUUGGGAAAGAAAAGCAGCAGGUUAAUACCCCGCUGUUCUGACGGUACCCAAAGAAUAAGCACCGGCUAACUUCGUG